GACGAAUGCUGGCUGCGUGCUUAACACAUGCAAGUCGAACGGUGAAGGAGGGCUUGCCCUUCGGAUCAGUGGCGAACGGGUGAGUAACACGUGGGCAACCUGCCCCUCACUCUGGGAUAACGCCGGGAAACCGGCGCUAAUACCGGAUACGACCAGGCGCGACAUCUCGCCUGGUGGAAAGAAUUUCGGUGAGGGAUGGGCCCGCGGCCUAUCAGCUAGUUGGUGGGGUAACGGCCCACCAAGGCGACGACGGGUAGCCGGCCUGAGAGGGCGACCGGCCACAGUGGGACUGAGACAGUGCCCAGACUCCUACGGGAGGCAGCAGUGGGGAAUAUUGCGCAAUGGGCGAAAGCCUGACGCAGCGACGCAGCGUGAGGGACGAAGGCCUUCGGGUUGUAAACCUCUUUCAGCGGGGACGAAGCGAAAGUGACGGUACCCGCAGAAGAAGCACCGGCUAACUACGUGCCAGCCGCCACAGUAAAAC
rnacentral:rRNA from 1 species